rnacentral:lncRNA from 1 species
CGGCUCCGUUCCGUCGGGUUCGGCUAUUUACUCGGCGCGCUCAGGUGGCGCACUCGGGCUCGGCUCGCUCGGCUCGGCUCCGCUCGGCUCCGCUCGGUUCGGGUUCUGCUCCGGGUGGCUCUGCGGUCCUCGACGGUGACUUUUGAAAAUGAAGUCAGAGGAAACUGAAAGAGGCAGACCCUCCUGGCGAAGUAGCAGAGGGAUGCAAAGUGAGUCUGUGUGCUAACUGGGUGGAGAAGUUACUCAUGUGCCAGGCAGGCACACGUUGUGUGAAAACAGGAGCUGCAGAGACCCUCUGAGGAUUCUUGAUGUGCUGCUGAGGUGCCAUGCUGGUGGUGAAGAUUUAAAAAUGCUGACAUCUGAUACAAGACCUCGUCCAGAUUCUAUGACUGUGAAAUGUACAAAUACCUAAAUCUGGUACCAAGUGCAAUUUCCUUCUCGCAACAGCUUCUCUUGGCUCAUUGUUUGCUAAACCUACAGAGAGGUAAUUUCUGGGUAUCUGGGGAGACUCUUGAAUGUUGGGAGGCUGCUGGUUUUGUUGUUUUGGUCUUUUGCAUUGUUCUCUCCAUCCGACCUCCCCCACUGCAAGGUCAUGGUGAGUCUCAUGGUAGAGUAACAAUCCCGCUGGUGGUCAAACUUCUGGUAAAGCUCUUUGUGUACUAGAGAUAUUGCAGCUCCUUCUUACAGGCAUGAUUAUUCCACACCACCUUUCCUUGCUUGUAAGGUACUGAACCAAAUACCCACACAGAAUUUGAAUUAGUGCCCCUCCUUGUGUGUUCUCUUUUGUACUUUGAUGCCUUCUCUCUGGGUGGAUUAUUUUAACCCCAGAUUGUUUGCGGGAAAAGAAUUGGAACUGCAUAGCUAUUUAAGAGAGGAGAAUAAAACUACUUAUGACUAAAUGAAGAUCUUGUAC